rnacentral:rRNA from 1 species
UACGGAGGGGGCUAGCGUUGCUCGGAAUCACUGGGCGUAAAGCGCACGUAGGCGGCUUGUUAAGUCAGGGGUGAAAUCCUGGAGCUCAACUCCAGAACUGCCUUUGAUACUGGCGAGCUUGAGUUCGGGAGAGGUGAGUGGAACUGCGAGUGUAGAGGUGAAAUUCGUAGAUAUUCGCAAGAACACCAGUGGCGAAGGCGGCUCACUGGCCCGAUACUGACGCUGAUGUGCGAAAGCGUGGGGAGCAAACAGG